rnacentral:rRNA from 1 species
UACGUAGGGUCCGAGCGUUGUCCGGAAUUACUGGGCGUAAAGCGCUCGUAGGUGGUUUGUCACGUUGUUCGUGAAAACUCACAGCUUAACUGUGGGCGUGCGGGCGAUACGGGCAGACUAGAGUACUGCAGGGGAGACUGGAAUUCCUGGUGUAGCGGUGGAAUGCGCAGAUAUCAGGAGGAACACCGGUGGCGAAGGCGGGUCUCUGGGCAGUAACUGAAGCUGAGGAGCGAAAGCGUGGGGAGCGAACAGG